rnacentral:piRNA from 2 species
UAAAGAACAGCUGUCCGACAGGCCU